CAUUCACCCUACCUAACAGUUGGCUAGCUCCGCUGACUGAAAGGUCAUCACAUGUUGUUUGACCUCUCUCCAUUCAUUUCUCCAUUCAUUGUCUCUCAGGUCAUAAUUGCAGUUUGUGGUGUUUUCAAAGUAAAAGGUGUGAUCAGAUGAGUUUUCCUGCACCUGAAUCUCGAGUAGAUCAUGCACAGAGCUUGGAGAGGAAAGGAAGAGAACCAGACCACAUGCUGAUUGGACGCUGCGGUGAUCCAAACUGAGUGGUGAGUUAAAACUGUUAAAUUCUCCUCCCGCUGAAUCAAACAGUUUCUCCGUCUCUCCAUGUGAACUAAUUUUCUGUCAUGUCUUCAUGUCACACAAAGCCUCCGUCAGAAUCUUUCUCCCUCCGGGCCUGCUCCCCGCUCUGACCUCCUCCAUCAUCUGCGGCCGAGAAUGACUUUGAUUCCUUCUUCACGGCCUCGUCUCAUCCGUCUCCCGCAGCUCUCUAUUGUCUGCGGCUGCAACAAAAUGACAGUGAUACAUACGGCACAUUACAGAGACAAAAGGUCGACAAGACCCAGUUUGUGUUUGCAUAAAAAAAAGUGGUAUAAAAAAUUCACAGAGCUGGGGAUUCGUCGGCCCCCUCGUUUAGAGACCGGAGCGGCUGAGGU